rnacentral:rRNA from 1 species
AGUGAACGCUGGCGGUAGGCCUAACACAUGCAAGUCGAACGGCAGCACAGUAAGAGCUUGCUCUUACGGGUGGCGAGUGGCGGACGGGUGAGGAAUACAUCGGAAUCUACUUUUUCGUGGGGGAUAACGUAGGGAAACUUACGCUAAUACCGCAUACGACCUACGGGUGAAAGCAGGGGAUCUUCGGACCUUGCGCGAUUGAAUGAGCCGAUGUCGGAUUAGCUAGUUGGCGGGGUAAAGGCCCACCAAGGCGACGAUCCGUAGCUGGUCUGAGAGGAUGAUCGGCCACACUGGAACUGAGACACGGUCCAGACUCCUACGGGAGGCAGCAGUGGGGAAUAUUGGACAAUGGGCGCAAGCCUGAUCCAGCCAUCCCGCGUGGGUGAAGAAGGCCUUCGGGUUGUAAAGCCCUUUUGUGGGGAAAGAAAAGCAGCGGCUUAAUACCCCGCGGUUCUGACGGUACCCAAAGAAUAAGCACCGGCUAACUUCGUG